AGCUUUGCACAGUGGUAGUAUCGUAGCCAAUAAGGUUUAUUUGAGGUGUGAUUAUUGUUAAUUGAAAACUUUGUGUCCUUCAGCCCAGGGAAACAGGAAGCUUCCAUCCUGUUUAAUCCUGUAUAAAUGUCUUCACU
ensembl:snRNA U4 U4 spliceosomal RNA